GCAAGUUGAUCAUACUUGGUUUAUUGAUCUGAGCAUAAGAACGUGUCCACAAUGGAAAUAACUCGACACAACUGAUUGUAUACGGAAUAUAACUACAAAUGGUACAAUUAAUUUAGAGACUCCAGGCACCCUGACCACUUCAAAUCACUGAAGUGUUGAUGGUGCUUGCAGUAAUCCUUAAAUUACACUUGAGCAUUUGGUAAACAAGAUAAAUUUUUCAGCAUGUUUAAAUUACAAAUAUCCAAAACUUGCCUUUCCCACCAACACUUGUCUAUCAUCAUGGUUUUAUUCCAAGGUCACAAAUGGUUUCUUUUGCCAAGCUUUACUCAAGUCCAUACCAUACAUCUAAACCAUUCUCCUCCCCAGAAAAAGUAUCUGACAAAGUAUAUUUUUAGCAAACAACACAUAGAUUUUGUUAUUUCACAACACGCAGGAGAGCUCGCUGCAAC